GACGAACGCUGGCGGCGUGCUUAACACAUGCAAGUCGAACGGUGAAGGGACUGGUUUUGCUGGUCCUGGAUGAGUGGCGAACGGGUGAGUAACACGUGAGUAACCUGCCCCCUUCUUCUGGAUAACCGCAUGAAAGUGUGGCUAAUACGGGAUAUUCUGGGUCUGUCGCAUGGUGGGCCUGGGAAAGAUUGCGCCUUUUUUGGUGUUUUUGGUGGGGGAUGGGCUCGCGGCCUAUCAGCUGGUUGGUGGGGUGAUGGCCUACCAAGGCGGUGACGGGUAGCCGGCCUGAGAGGGUGGACGGUCACACUGGGACUGAGACACGGCCCAGACUCCUACGGGAGGCAGCAGUGGGGAAUAUUGCACAAUGGGCGCAAGCCUGAUGCAGCGACGCCGCGUGAGGGAUGGAGGCCUUCGGGUUGUGAACCUCUUUCGCCAGUGAAGCAGGCCUGCCUCUUUUUGUGGGUGGGUUGACGGUAGCUGGAUAAGAAGCGCCGGCUAACUACGUG
rnacentral:rRNA from 1 species